AUCGAAGAGCAGAAAACUACAACCUUUCUAUUGGCUUUUUUCUUUGCUAUGAAAUUAACUGUAAAAUUAGAAACUAAUUUCUAAUUAAUAAUCUAAUAAUAAAAUUAGAAAUUUAGUAAUUUAUUAGUAGUAUUAGCGCAUACCAACAAUAUCAUACUAAAUCAAAGAAAGAAAAGCAUAAAAAUACUUAAACAAAAAAAAAAAAAUGAACUAAAAACUAAUAAAGAACCCCGAU
rnacentral:lncRNA from 1 species